GUGAGGAAUAUUGGUCAAUGGGCGGAAGCCUGAACCAGCCAUCCCGCGUGGAGGAAGACGGCCCUAUGGGUUGUAAACUUCUUUUCAAGGGGAAGAAAGUUCGCGACGUGUCGCGAUUUGCCGGUACCUUUGGAAUAAGCAUCGGCUAACUCCGUGCCAGCAGCCGCGGUAAUACGGAGGAUGCGAGCGUUAUCCGGAUUUAUUGGGUUUAAAGGGUGCGUAGGCCGAUCGAUAAGUCAGCGGUGAAAUACCAUGGCCCAACCAUGGAACUGCCGUUGAUACUGUCGGUCUUGAAUAUGGUCAAGGUAGGCGGAAUGUGUAAUGUAGCGGUGAAAUGCUUAGAUAUUACACAGAACACCGAUUGCGAAGGCAGCUUACUGGUCCAUUAUUGACGCUGAGGCACGAAAGCGUGGGGAUCGAACAGGAUUAGAUACCCUUGUAGUCC
rnacentral:rRNA from 1 species